CGUACAUGUACACCCACAUAUGUACACUGAGUUCAUCAAAGCGUCGAAGAUGGUGAUCUCUGUUCCAUAACUUUAAAGUGCAGUGUAAUCAAUUUUGAACACAACAUUGCGUUGGCCUAAAUUGAAAGAACAAGUUGUACAGCAUGUCUACAUGUACACCUCACUAUCUGUGCACAUCGAGAUGACCAACCUAGCAAAAUAGCAGCAAAUCUUAAUGAUCAAAGCAUGGAGAACCUAAAACAUUCACCUUUGGCCAAAACAGUUGCAGUACAGCUACGACCGCAUGGACUGCGGACUGAACAAUUUGGGCCGAACUGUUCGUUGGUUAGUUUACCUGCAGAUGAAAGUUGUCAGGAGACAGGUCAGAAGACAGGAACAGACUGGUGUGGACCCCACAAUCCCCUGACUAGAGGCACCACCGAAGCAGCAAACACCAUGGGAGGUCAUAGGAGAAAGCAAACUUUGGUGCCCAGUGUGAACCCUUAAAUGGUACCUUGAGAGAACUAAAGACAUCAGAGGCUCCAUUUCUCAACUGCAGGUGACCACUACCCAUCUCUACCAUCCAUCUAUCAGACACUGUUGCCAGGGCUUUCCACACUUGGACGUAAACUCUGGUUGCCAGGAAGGAUGCGGAAUCAAGUUUGAACUGCCCCUCUUACUGCUGCUGUGAGCUGGAUUUCCAUCUCAGCUGGCAUGUAUCCACAUGACAUUAUAGGUAUUGAUGAUUGAUACCAGACUGACUAAAGACCAAGAGGGCACUGUAAGAAGAAACCAUCAAAUGGAGCCAGACCAUCUUUAAGCAGCUGAACUUUGAUUGAUGCUGAGGAUAACAGAUGUCGACUCGAGGAUGAUGUUAAGUCUCAUUGACUCUUUUGAUGUUGAUGCUGCUGCUGCUGCUUAUGGUGCCAUUUCUGCUGAUGCUGAAAAUGAUGGUGAUGAUGAAAUGAUGCUGACAUAAUUUUGAUGCUGCUGUGAGUGAUGCUGAUUUAUUGCAGUGGCUGCUGCAAGCUACCUCUGAUUAUGCUGUGCCGUUAAUACAGGCUGAUGCGUGAAGGUGAUGAGAUAUGCUGAUACUGCCGAGUGUGGAGAUGAUAUGUUGGUUAUGGUGAUGGCCAUGGCUACCAAAGUGUGGUGCAAUUGCUAAGUGGGACAAUGAGAUGACGAAUUAGAUCAAGAGUGACUGGGACAUUGGAAAGGAGUACAAGACUGUUGGCCAAAAAUAACCUUUUGGCGCCUCCCAUAGAAAUACAGUUCUUUUAUCGCUGAUGUUUCUGUUACUUUAUUAUAGGGGAAAAAAAUAUGGAACGCUUCACGAUUUUGCGUGUCAUCCUUGCGCAGGGGCCAUGCUAAUCUUCUCUGUAUCGUUCCAAUUUUAGUAUAUGUGCAGCCGGAGCUAGCACAAUUAAGGUGUUAAUCACCCUGUAAUUUAUCUGCCACAAAUUAGACUACGUUUUAGAUCACGGUACCGUAUGAUAAGAUACGUAAAAUUGUACAUAUCAGCCUUUAACUGUUGUAUUCAACAUUAUACAUUCGAGAUUUAUAUUUUGUGUUGAAGACAUUGAUUUUCACUACUAUAAGAUCAAAAUGCUAAAAGAAAAUCAUACAUUCUGCCUUCAGAACAGGAAUAUUUGUUCAGCAUUAAACACUACCGUUAACAACAAAAGGCUAUUAUGGUACGCAUGCGCGCUCGCACGGCGUAGCCUUUUUGAGGUGCCGUGGGUACUCAUCCGUCCAGUUACCUAAUAAUACAACGACACCAUACCCAGCAUUGCCGGGAACAAUGUUGAAUUCGAACUACGUGAAAAAUCGAUGAAAAAGCUUUAAGAAGCAAAAAGACUGUGUGCGUUGUUAAAGGAAGUCAGAUCAAGGUUUUAAAAAGCGAAAAGACUAUGUACGUUGUCAAAUGAAGCCAGAGCAAAGUACCACGCAUGCGUGGAGUGAACCAUUAUUGCACAGGGGUUCAAUUUAUUUUCAUGAUAUGCGUUACCGUUUUCACCAAGAGGCAGACAUGUAAAAAGUAGCAUUUUCUCGAUUUCGAUUACAUUCAUGUUACAGGCCACAAUCUCGUUAAGUGCAUUUUGUGUUUCACGAAGAGACAAAUGUUACUGCCCCUCGUAAACGAACAGAACGUAUUGACUGGAAGGGCAGAAAAGUAGGUCAAAUAAGAUUUUCGUUUUCACGAAGAGCCACACAUCUUGUUAUAUACAGUGGUUACUUUUCCCCGUUCCCUAUGGAAAAUUACAUUACACAGAUGAGCCAAAAAGUAGGAAAACAUGGAUUUUCGAUUUCACGAUCAGACGCGCAUCUUGAUAAUUGAUUUCGGCUAAUUAACCUUUGUGUUCAUUUUAAUUAGCUGGUUCAGGCAAAAGUUUACCUCAGAAAAUCAUUGAGUUUUUUUAUUGCAUUAAGUUGUGCUAUAUCGGUACUUUUGCAUUUUUGAAAUAGAAGAAGCUUCUAGGGCGAUUUCUAGAAAACCAGCUUUUCUUGAAAAUGUACGUGUGGCUUCAAGAAAACGGUUACUUGAACGGUAGGCCGAUAUAACGUUUUGCAAAGCGUCGUUGAGUAGAUGGAUAUUGUACACCACGUUCCAACACCUUUUGCCGCAAUUUCACUUCGUACUGUAGCGUGAACUAUCGGGGCUCUUGCCCUGAAAGACUGGCGAUGAUUUUGACAACCCCGGCCGUCAGCCCUGCUUGUACGUGCGUGGCGAAAACACUGCACGGUAUGUUGCGCAAUACCCUUCGCUGCAGCAGGUUUGCUUUUAACACGGACGGUACAUUGCACUCGGGCCGUUAUGCUUUGUGAGUGACCUUGAAGCAGUUGCGGCACUCUCACCUUGCUCACGUGCGUGCCUUGCCCUGCCUGGUCCUUAAACUGCCUUGGACAAGGCUGCCCUAUUUACGCACAGCCGAAGAAUUCCAGCCAUAAAAUUCCAUGAUGCCAUUUUUCGAUUGUAAAAAAAUCCUCAUUCUCUCCCAUAGGGAUUUGAAACAAUGCGGUUGCAACAAUGAAAAAAGAAGAAGAGAUAGCAGUACCGAAGAAUAAAAAAAGGGAACGUAUUCAGAAGCACAUGGAAACAAAUACAAGCAAUGUAAGUGCGUUGCGCGUAAUGCGCACUGAACGCGCUGCCAUCCACCGUUUAGCCCACCGU